rnacentral:tRNA from 1 species
UCCGGCUUAGCUCAGUUGGUAGAGCGUUCCGCUGUUAACGGAAAGGUCGCAGGUUCGAUCCCUGCCGCCGGAG